AUGCAAGUCGAGCGGUAAGGCCCUUCGGGGUACACGAGCGGCGAACGGGUGAGUAACACGUGGGUGAUCUGCCUCGCACUCUGGGAUAAGCCUGGGAAACUGGGUCUAAUACCGGAUAUGACCAUUGAUCGCAUGGUUGAUGGUGGAAAGAUUUAUCGGUGCGAGAUGGGCCCGCGGCCUAUCAGCUUGUUGGUGGGGUAAUGGCCUACCAAGGCGACGACGGGUAGCCGGCCUGAGAGGGCGACCGGCCACACUGGGACUGAGACACGGCCCAGACUCCUACGGGAGGCAGCAGUGGGGAAUAUUGCACAAUGGGCGAAAGCCUGAUGCAGCGACGCCGCGUGAGGGAUGACGGCCUUCGGGUUGUAAACCUCUUUCGACAGGGACGAAGCGCAAGUGACGGUACCUGUAGAAGAAGCACCGGCCAACUACGUGCCAGCAGCCGCGGUAAUACGUAGGGUGCGAGCGUUGUCCGGAAUUACUGGGCGUAAAGAGCUUGUAGGCGGUUCGUCGCGUCGAUCGUGAAAACUUGCAGCUCAACUGCGAGCUUGCGGUCGAUACGGGCGGACUAGAGUACUGCAGGGGAGACUGGAAUUCCUGGUGUAGCGGUGAAAUGCGCAGAUAUCAGGAGGAACACCGGUGGCGAAGGCGGGUCUCUGGGCAGUAACUGACGCUGAGAAGCGAAAGCGUGGGUAGCGAACAGGAUUAGAUACCCUGGUAGUCCACGCCGUAAACGGUGGGUACUAGGUGUGGGUUUCCUUCCACGGGAUCCGUGCCGUAGCUAACGCAUUAAGUACCCCGCCUGGGGAGUACGGCCGCAAGGCUAAAACUCAAAGGAAUUGACGGGGGCCCGCACAAGCGGCGGAGCAUGUGGAUUAAUUCGAUGCAACGCGAAGAACCUUACCUGGGUUUGACAUACACCAGAAAGCUGCAGAGAUGUAGCCCCCCUUGUGGUUGGUGUACAGGUGGUGCAUGGCUGUCGUCAGCUCGUGUCGUGAGAUGUUGGGUUAAGUCCCGCAACGAGCGCAACCCUUAUCUUAUGUUGCCAGCGCGUAAUGGCGGGGACUCGUGAGAGACUGCCGGGGUCAACUCGGAGGAAGGUGGGGACGACGUCAAGUCAUCAUGCCCCUUAUGUCCAGGGCUUCACACAUGCUACAAUGGCCGGUACAGAGGGCUGCGAUACCGUGAGGUGGAGCGAAUCCCUUAAAGCCGGUCUCAGUUCGGAUCGGGGUCUGCAACUCGACCCCGUGAAGUUGGAGUCGCUAGUAAUCGCAGAUCAGCAACGCUGCGGUGAAUACGUUCCCGGGCCUUGUACACACCGCCCGUCACGUCAUGAAAGUCGGUAACACCCGAAGCCGGUGGCCUAACCC
rnacentral:rRNA from 1 species